GACCGAUUAGCUGGUUGGUGGGGUAAAGGCCCACCAAGGCGACGAUCGGUAGCUGGUCUGAGAGGAUGAUCAGCCACACUGGGACUGAGACACGGCCCAGACUCCUACGGGAGGCAGCAGUGGGGAAUAUUGGACAAUGGGCGCAAGCCUGAUCCAGCCAUGCCGCGUGUGUGAAGAAGGCCUUCGGGUUGUAAAGCACUUUUGUCCGGAAAGAAAUCCUCCAGCCUAAUACGUUGGGGGGAUGACGGUACCGGAAGAAUAAGCACCGGCUAACUUCGUGCCAGCAGCCGCGGUAAUACGAAGGGUGCAAGCGUUACUCGGAAUUACUGGGCGUAAAGCGUGCGUAGGCGGUUUGUUAAGUCUGACGUGAAAUCCCCGGGCUCAACCUGGGACGUGCGUUGGAAACUGGCGAUCUAAGAGUACGGUAGAGGGUGGUGGAAUUCCCGGUGUAGCAGUGAAAUGCGUAGAGAUCGGGAGGAACACUCGUGGCGAAGGCGGCCACCUGG
rnacentral:rRNA from 1 species